AACGAACGCUGGCGGCAUGCUUAACACAUGCAAGUCGAACGUUAUCUUCGGAUGGCGUGGCGGACGGGUGAGUAACACGUGGGAACCUGCCCAGAGGUACGGGAUAACCCAGGGAAACUUGGGACAAUACCGUAUGUGACCUGAGGGGGAAAGAUUUAUCGCCUUUGGAUGGGCCCGCGUCGGAUUCGGUGGUUGGUGGGGUAAAGGCCUACCAAGCCGACGAUCCGUAGCUGGGCUGAGAGGAUGAGAAGCCACACGGGGACGGAGACACGGCCCAGACUCCUACGGGAGGCAGCAGGGGGGAAUAUUGGACAAUGGGCGAAAGCCUGAUCCAGCAAUGCCGCGUGAGUGAUGAAGGCCUUAGGGUUGUAAAGCUCUUUCACCCACGACGAUGAUGACGGUAGUGGGAGAAGAAGCCCCGGCUAACUUCGUGCCAGCCGCCGCCGUAAAAC
rnacentral:rRNA from 1 species